AGGGUUCUCAUCAAGUUCAAAAAAAAAAAACUAGGGUUCUCAUCCGUCGCCGCCAUCUGACCCCUCCUCCUCCCGCGGUGCUGCUCCCCGGCGACGUCGUCUGACCAGCCGCGGCCUCCGCAGGCCUCAUCUUCUCACGAAUCUGCAAAGGUCGUUGCCAUCGGUUCCCACCGACGCCUUGCUGUAGCCUCCCCGAUGCUCUCUUUGCACCGCCGCAUGUGCCUGUGCAUAUUCCGCAGACUCCCCCUCCUACAAGAGAUCUCCGCCACCGUCCCGAUUGGAUCACGCUGCCGCCAACCAGUGGUUCAGCAGGGAACGCUGCCGCCCGAUUGGAUCUUGGACGCCCUGCAAGAGCUCAAGCCGCCGCUCGGCUGCACGCAUCUGCCCUGCAGGUCUCCGGCUGGACCAGGCCACGACCCCCACUAGCCUCCCAUGCCCAACAGUCAGUCGGCUCCUCUGCUCGCUCCGGUUCACUGGCCGCUGCAAGUCAACGCCCAGCUGCAUCUUUGAUUGAAUCAAGCCUAUAUGGAUCAUCUAAGAAGAUCCAUGGUCGUGUGACCACUCAACUCGUAGACCUUCGCACGGCCGGUAGGCCGGCCGGUAUGUGACAUGAUCUCUUCAUUUCUUCUUACAUUGUCUUCUUUUGUUGAUCAACUGCAAGGAAGAGCUGACGAUAACAUUGAGACUGUCAGGAGAAGAUUCAGAGUUAAAAAAUAAUCAGAGUUUUUGAAGAAUCAAGUUUGCCUGUAGUUCAGUCCGAUGACUCUAAGUCUAAGGGCAAGGUUAAGAUGGUGUAUCCAUUUUUAUAUAAAAGGAUAUGGCACGCUUCUUCCAAAGAGCUUAUUCUUCACAGCGUCACAUAAAUACUUGUGAUUUAAGAUAGUCACACGUCACCAGAAAACGAUUCAGUAUUAAUCCAGCUGCAUAUAGUUGAGUACUAUGAUUCAAAAGGCUAGGUUGAGAAGGGGUAUGAUUUUGAGUGCAAAAGCAUACUAUUCUGUAGAACAGUUCAUUUUUAACAGCCUAAUGUAUCGAUUUCUCAUAAAUUAUAAGAGCUACGCUGUAGAAUUUUUUAGUAUGUCUAGCAAAUGCUCUUGUUGUUCAGGGUCUAAUUGGGUGCAGGUGAUGCCUGGAAUUGAACAUACAAAGGAUGAAGGGGGUGCUAGGCAGGCUCGCGCCGUCCACGUGUCGCUAUGAAUAGUGCCGGCGAAGCAAGCGUUGCGUCCCGCGCGCGCCGCGAGCAGAGAAGCGACCGAGAGAGAAAAGAGAGCAGUUCUCAAAAAAAGAGAGAGAAAAGAGAGCGAGCGAGCAGCUGUAGCGAGAGACAAAAGUAGCGAUGCCAGUGACCUAAACCGCAUCUCCCCUUCUCCAGAGAGAGAGAGAAGAUGAGAGGGAGAAGAAGUAAGGAAGGGAGGGUGAAAGAGAGGAAAGAGGAGAGGGAGGUAGAGCCGCCUUCUCUCCCUGCCUCUUCCGCGGUGGUCGAGGUGCAGCAGCGUCGGCGCCGCCAGGUUCUCGAUCCAGUCGGAUCUGGCGCCGGUCGCCGUCCCCGUCGCCUCGUCUUCUUUCUUUCCAACCCACCGCCUCCGAGCUUCUGCUCCUGCUACGUCUCCUUCUCCCUUCCCGCCGCGGGAGCAGUCAUCGCUGCGCCCUCGCCCCCGCACGCCGUCCUUCCGCGCGCCUCACCAGCCACCACCAGCAGCAGCGUAGGGAGCCAAUGGGAAGGGGGUCCAAGGCCAAAUCCUGCUUCAGCGGAGGCCAUGACUGAGGCGGAGGGGGAGCUCCCCAAAGCCAUCGUGGAUCGUGCUGUGGCGGCGUGGAGCAGGGGAGGAUUUGGGCGAUGGGCAUGAGGGAAGGAGCAGCGAGGUCAGAGUUCCAGGCGGUGCCGGCCGUCGUCACAUGUCCCCAGUCUAGAUCUGAGAAAAAAAAGAGAAGUGGGUGAAUCUUGAGGAAGAGCUUGGUGAAGAACAAGGUGUUCCUAAUGGCAAAGGUGGUAAUCAACGAUGAGAAAAAAAGGGACCGAGAUUGGAUUUCUGCUAGGUAUGUUCCUCAUCUCUCUCAGCUCUUGUUCCAAUCCCCACCCUGAUGUAACUGCUUCUUCACAACUGUUUGAUGUGUCUUAGGAGAUGAAUGCCAUGGAUUGGCAAGAUUCUUGCUAAGCUGACAACUAAUUAAACUAUUUGUCCCAUUGUUAAAGCUAAUCAUAGUCAUAUGUGGUGAUCGUCCGACUGCUGCGUAUGGUGGCAACCGAAUUCUUGAUGAUGAACCGAAUCAAAUACGUAGUAAAGUCAGCGCUAAAUCACAAGUAUAUAUUCAGGUUCAGUACACUCAAGCUGUCGAGGAGGUUACUCAGACCUGUAGAUUUUGUAUGACAAGAAAAUUACUUGAAAGAAAUAGGUACAGCCACUGUGAUAAAUAUCAGUAGUAAGCAUUGUAUAUGUAUGCAGUAGUAUAGUAAGACAAGAAAAAUACUUGAAAGAAAUAGGUGCAGACACUGUGAUAAAUAUCAGUAGCAUGCACUAUAUAUGUAUGCAGAACAGACCAUAAUCAUGAUUUUGCAUUGCUUGGACCAAGAUUUGUAUGCACCGAUCACCUAUGCUGUCUUUAGGGGUUACAGGAAAAUGACAUAUAUCAGCCAGUGCAACCACUAAUAGUGCAAUUGUGUAUUUACAGAAAGGAAGCAGGUCAACCAUGCAGUAUUAGAGUAAGAUACUACAUGUAAAAGUACCAUCUAAAAAUGACAGAUACAUUACUUCGUGAGAAAUCUCGGUAGGAAAGUAGUGACUCUUUUUGUCAAUGGAUUGUGUACAGUGAACUGGAUUAUGCAAUGAUCGGUUGAUUCAGAGCUCUUGUAUCUUGAGUGGCAUUCACCUUUGGGCAAUUCAAGCGACCACAGGGCGAGACUACCAGCUGGUGAAGGAGAGGAUAUGUAUUCGGCGUGUCCUGAAGAGGUAGUCCACGAACCGGCAAUGGAGGAAAUAAGGUAGAGACGACAAUAGCAGCAAGUACGUCAAGUGCUAGGGAUGUGGAUAUGGUGUGGCAUAAAGAGGUAGUCCACAAACCUCUGCUAGGUGCUCCUCUCUCACCUCUUGCAUCCUCUGGGGAUAUUCCUUCAUUAUUUGGUUACCUGUCAAUGCUCGGUCCUAUUUCCCACCUUGUGCUUUGACUUCUUGCAUUUUUUCCGUCUAAGUUAUUAGGCUACUGCUGCCUGGUUUGCCCAUGAUGAACCACUAAUUAUGAUGCACCGCUGGCUGGUCUGCCUUUUUUAUGCUUUUUUAGUGACAACAUUCAGACUUAAUGUUUAUUACUUCAUUUCAGAGUUUUAAUUAAGACAUCGCAGUCAAUUUAUAUGGUCUUCUGAAGUUUCACCUUCCCUUUGUCAUAUUGGUUUGAUCAAAUCAAUGGGAAGCCGGCAUUACUUUGAUGCUGAUCUUCUUGCUCAGUAUAAGCCAACAAUGGAGAAACUGACCAGGCUAUCUUUCAUGAUCAGUUACACACCAAGCCUAUAUUUUUGCUGCUUCUACAUGUCGUUGUGAUGGUCAUUCGGCCCAUUUUCUUGAAUCUGCACUACAACGAGAGAUCUUGGCUGCUUCUUUGUGGCUUCCAAACUUGAAAUGUUUGUUUGGAAGUUAGUUUAGUUUUUUGUUGUAGAUUCAUAGCUUCUCACAUGUACCGUCCUCUUAGACCUUCAGAUUUCCAAAGAAACUAAAUGAAGAUAUGGUGGUAUGGUCUCAAUAGUACAACUUAAAGCCUUCCAUGCUUUAUAUUCUCUGAAAUUUGCUCUUGAAGAAUUAUGUAUCUAUGUUACAUCCAGUGAGAAAAGGCGGCUUCCAAGCAGAGGAUGCGGGAAUGUUGGCCACAUUUGGUUUU